rnacentral:rRNA from 1 species
CAGCCGCCGCGGUAAUACGUAGGGCGCAAGCGUUGUCCGGAAUUAUUGGGCGUAAAGAGCUCGUAGGCGGUCUGUCGCGUCUGGUGUGAAAUCCCGAGGCUCAACCUCGGGCUUGCAUCGGGUACGGGCAGACUAGAGUGCGGUAGGGGAGACUGGAAUUCCUGGUGUAGCGGUGGAAUGCGCAGAUAUCAGGAGGAACACCGAUGGCGAAGGCAGGUCUCUGGGCCGCAACUGACGCUGAGGAGCGAAAGCAUGGGGAGCGAACAGGAUUAGAUACCCGUGUAGUCCCUGUCUCUUAUAC